ACUGCAGUUUAAGCACUUCUGG
rnacentral:miRNA from 1 species